AUCAAUGAUGCAACCAUAAUCUGCGUUAUCUUUCUGUAACUCCUUUGGAGGAUUUGAAGAUGAUACUUAUCUACUGAGAUCUGGUAAAAUAGCUUUAUUGUUUUCUGCAAGGAUAUUAUUCUAAACAUUCUGAAGCAUAUUUAUGAAUAACAAGAAAAAUUGGGGUUUGUUUCUCAUGCCAAUUUCAAGUCCUAAAAGUCUCAUUCUUUUUCAGUUUAUUUUUUUUAUUUUAUAUUGGGUGGAUGAUGUGUCUGUAGUCUGCGUUAUCUUUCUGUAACUUUGUUGAAGGAAUUGAAGAUGACACUGAUUACUGAGAUCUGGGAGACUACGUAAGCAUGUUGUUCCCUUCUAGAGGUUCAUUCAUUUUUGUUAUUCUUCCAAGUGCAAUCCUUUGAGAAUUCUAAUGCUUCUGAAUCUUUUUUUCUUCCCUUCUGUUUUUUUACAUAUUCCUAGUAAAGUAGUAAUCAUUUUGUUGACUUCACUUUUCUAGUUUCUAGCUUGCAUUUUGAUUCAGUAUUAGAGUUUCUUUUCUACUAUACGAUAACUUGAUUUAUUUUUAUUUGUUUCAGACCAACUCUGCAGUUACCUAUGAUUCGUAUUAAACAUAUUUGUGUAAUUGUAUGAAAAUAUGCUUAUGCAACCACCGCCUGUUUAUUUUACAGUAAUAUGUAGUAACUAAGAAUCUAAGAAUUCCUAAUAUGAAUGGAGUGAUGAUUCUCAAUAUUGGCUUUAAAACUUUAAUUAAUUUUUGAGCUGGCAAUUGACCAGUUGCAGUGUUAGCCACAUCAAGUGUGUUUUUAGUGUAUUGUUUAAACAUAUCACUUCAGGCGCAUGGUUUGCCCCUUUGCCUAGAGCAAAUUAGAGCGGAGGUGGUUUUAGGACUAAAGUCUUAUCAAGAUAUAGUCAUACUUUUGACCAAUGAAAAAUGAUAACUGACUUGAUUAAAUCAAGAUUUUGCUUUGUGAUAUCUGUUCAUUAUCAUUAGGAAUCCCAAGCAAAAUUCUUGAUCUUUUAGUUGAGUUUGUAGUCAGAAGUUCUCGGUUGGGUGGAUUAGUGAAAGAACAGGAGAAGUCCUCAGUCCUAGGGUGACAUGCUAAUGGGCCAAUAUUCGUGAGCUACUUACCUACCUUUUGAGAUAAUAAUUGUAGGUUUAUAUUGACUAAAAAAUGCCAAAAAUACAAGUAAGAUUCCUAUUUCAAAGUUUUUCUUCCUGCCAACAUAUGUAACAACAGAGUGAUGCGCCCUGUUUGAUGUGCUUAAACUAGCCAACUCUGAACAUUAGGUUCUUUUACCAUCCUAUUUGCCUGCUUGCCAAGUCUCAUGAUUAGUAUGACACUUAAUCACCAGUUGUGUGGUUUAGUGUCAGGUCAUUAGCUGGUCGCAGAAAGCUGCUUGAUCAUCCUAUGAUGCCAUCUCAUCCUUUUUAUGCUUGUUGGCCAUUCCCCUUUUGAUGGGGAAAUGAUCAAUUAAUUGAUCAAUAUUGUCCUGUCUCCAGCUUCAGUGCAUCAUCAGAAUUUCAAAUCAUCCAAAUAGGAGCUUCUGUCUAUUUUCAAGAUUAUGCUCUCUGGCUUGUGUAAUUUGCCCUCUGUUAAAAGCCCUAAUUACGGCCUUUUUGGGUACAUCUAGCUGACCCGCUGCAGGACGACCUAAAGCGCAUUAUUGCCACCGUGCCGUGGAGCUUGUUAAGUUUGGCAUGAUAAGAAGUAAAUGCAACGGGUACACUAAUCAGUAAGAUUGAUGAAGUUGCAAUUAAUGCAAAAGUAGCUAAUUGGAAGGCAACAAUAGUCAUGUUUGUAAUCCUUCAAGCUACCAACAAAUGAACUAUACUAUUUGACUUCUCUUU